CGAACAUCAAGGAAAGCAAGCAAAUUGAGGAUUAUUAGCUUUGGAAGUAUCAAGAGCUUUGAGAGCGAUGGGUUGAUUGGCACAAUACAUUGUAUACAUUGUGUGCAUUUGGAACUGGCCCAACUGUAGAGAAAAAAGAAAUUGAGAAAGAAAAGAAGAAAAGAUACAAAAAAAAAAAAGAGAAAGAAAGAAAGAAAGAAAAGGAAAAAAAAAAGAAGAAAUAUACCGUGGAAAGAAAUGUUACACCUAAAGAGUCAAAACGACAUUUAUGGAACUUGCCAGC
rnacentral:rRNA from 1 species